UGGCAAUACAGACUGAAUCCACUCCAGGGA
rnacentral:piRNA from 1 species